AUGGAGAAUCUUGCUCCUGAAAGCCAGAGCGACAAGGGUGAUGUUAUCUACGAUUCAGACUUGAUCAUGUCGCUCGAGCGCAAGGCCGUGGAUUGGCAUUGCAAGCAGCUGUCCAUUGGGGGUGCCUGGAGGGCUGUGACAUGGACUCGGACAGUUUCGUCCAACUGUUGGCGCCAGACAUGUGCUGCCAAUGUCGCUGACAUCUUGGUUGUCGACGGAUCAGCACAUUCAUCUUUGUUGCCCGGGUUAAAGGGCGAAAAGUUGACAUUCAGGGACCUCUACUCAGCUUUCCCCAUCCUGAGCCCGGAUGGUGACGAUAUUCUUUAUCUCAAAUCAAUGGUGGAACCCAGUAAUAAGGAUGGAUGGGCGGUCGCUGUUGACUUAGGAAACAAGGCAGUGAAAGCAAUUGGCAAGUAUUGUCUUCCGGAUGAUUUUUAUUAUAGCUUCCGUCAUGACCCUGAACAUCCUUUCCGUGUCUGUACAUUGUCCCUGGUAAUUGUCUCCAGGCAUAGAAGUCUCAGCGUGUCGCAAGAUCACAGGGGAUGCUAGCAGCUCUUCAAAUUAUCCAAGCAACACCUCAUUCCGUGCGGGUGAGCUCAAUUCCUGCGAACCAAGGAGCAAAAUCCAAAGGUCAUUGGAAUGGGCUUGGAAAAACAAGCGUGCACGAAAUGCUGCUGGGACUUUUAUGCAGAAUGAUCAUAUUUCCCAGCAGCUUGACGAUAAGGUGCUGGAGCUAGAGCAGGAGAUAGAGCAGGAGCUAGAGCGGGGGUGGAAACAGAAGAGAGAGCAGAAGCCACAACAGCAGUGCUUCAACAAGUGGGAUGCGCCGUGCUACCCCCCUGGACAUUCAGUGUGGCCCCAUCAAAACAAUCUGUCACCGAGGAAAUACUUCAACAAGCCAGACGGACCAUGUGUCCUUGGGUAUGCAUCUUUGCCCCCUGUACAGCUGGGUCGUCACAACUACCAACCUCUGUGGCGCAGCCACCACCAUCAAAACAGCAGUUGACUUCUAGCAGUGAGUUUGGACCUCAUGAGGUAAAGACAUUGGUGAAGCUUAUGAUAUUCUGAUAUCUCCUCUAUUGGCAUGUAGCUCUGGAACAGACCAUCUUCACUUGUUAAAAAUUACUCGCAAGAUACAUAUUCUAAGUAGUACUCCCUCCGGUCCUUCUUACUCCGUGUAUUAGAUUUGUAUCAAGUCAAACUUUGCAAAGAUUGACGAAAUUUAUAUUAAAAAAUAUCAACAUAUACAAUACCAAAUAUAUUAUUAUAUGAAACUACAUUCCAUAAUGAAUCUAAUGAUAUUGAUUUCAUUCUAUGAAUGUUGAUACUUUUUUCUAUAAGUUUGGUCAAAUUAGAGAUACUUUGACUUUCAGCUGAACUUAUUUGCAGACUAGAAAUGACCGGAGGGAGUAAUUCUCUCACAUGUGCUGUCAUGCCGAUGGACCCAACUUGACAUGUUCCGUGCAUUUUUUAAUUAUUUGUUUUGAAAGUAAAAGAGGGAAACAAACUAUGGGCACCAAGUUUAAAAAUAUGUAAUCAGUAAGUCUAAAAGCAACUGCAUUAUUAUAGUAAAUUCAUUAUUUGAGUUCAUUGGAAUAUAAUAAGCAACAAAGAUGAAAUUAUCUAUUUCUGCUGUGAUGUGCUACUUUUGACGUGUUGCCUAGGUGUCUGUUUUUUCAUCAUCUUACUACUAUAAGUUGUUAAGAUUUCAGGCACCCCAGCCAUGCUUCAACAAUUGCAGUGGAGCCAGCUACCAUGGGUAUUAACAACAAUUUUCUGCCCCUAACUCAUUUGCCUAUGGCGCACACACCUGCUAUGCCAGCUACCAACACCAGUGGCUGCAACUCUUACUUUGGAGCUGCCUAUUGGUGCGUUUUGGCAGCAUUCACCUCCUGUGGUGCAGCGUCAGCCAACACCUAGUGAGAUAAAAAAAAAAGCACUGAAAAAACCUAUGUUUGCUGACAUGUUCCUCUUUUAGACAGUAGACAUGGAGUGAAUCUCUCAUUAAGAUUACUUUUUCAAGAUGAUCAUUCUUGCAAGUAAUUCUGGGCUUGUUGCAUAUGCAAAACCCUUGUGUGUUUCAAACUGAAAUUUAAAGAGGGUUACAUAGUGUCAAGACUCAAGACUAUGUAAGGUAAUAUCCUCUCAUAGUUUGACAUUGUUUCUUGAAACAUAAACGUAACCAUUUUGCUGAAAUGUGAGCACGUAAGGAAAGGUGCUAACUUUUCAAAAAAGAGGAGGAAUCCCAUCGAAAGGAGCGAAUGCUGGAGAAAUGUGUGGUAAGGUUGAUGGGGAGCCUGGAGUGGCCAAAUGAAGUGUAGAUGCUGAACUAAGGAAACUAGUCAACAUUUAAUAUCCUCUUUCAGUUGAUUGUGCUGAAAAAUAUAUAAUAAAAAUAUGGUUAAUCCUAGUAACUCGAAACAUGUGCAUUAUUUGUUACCAUAGAAAAGUUUCGGGAGUUGUGGUUUUAGAGAAGAGGUGACAUGUGGCAUUCUCUUGCGGAACAUUUUUGUUGUUGACUAAUUAGUUGAUUUUGCCGUGCAGUGAUAUUACUGGCUAGAUUUGACUGGAUCAAUGGCUAUGCUCAGGUGAGAGUAUGGUGUAAAUGUUUAAGCUUUCUGUGUGUGUACUAUCGGGAAUUUGUUUCUACCUGAACAGUCAUCUUCUGAUAGAUACGCAUCAGAUAAACAUGUCUUGUGUUAUAGUCUCACAAUAUUUCUUGAAUAGAAGUGGAAUAAUUGACUGAAAAAUAUUUUCACAUGCAUGGUAGAAUGUUGUGGUGGGUCUUUUCCCAUACAUGAUUGUAUGUUGAGGUGGGCUUUAUCCCAUUCAUAAUUGUAUGAUGAGG
rnacentral:rRNA from 1 species